CCGAGAGAGACGGAGACAGAGGGAGAGGAGAAGGAGGAGCUCCAGGGCCGCUAUGACGCAACAGCUGCGGAGCCUCCCUGCAGGCAGCCCUGGCAGCUCCGGCCUCGCUGCUCCUGUUACGGCUCUCCUGCCCCAGUGAGGCCGAAGGACCUUUCAUCUUCUGGGAAAUCGUCUGCGGGAGAGCCCAGCCAUCUCGCAUGUGCUCUGCCUCGGAGAGAAAUCUGAACAACACUGUCAGCCCCUCCUGCACAUUUGGGGACCAUGUAGGAGAAGUGGAGAUCAAAGGCGAGCUUGAGAGGAAACCUCAUUAAAUCCAGGUGGCAAAAGAUAAACAAACAUGCAGAACACAGAGACAGAACCCACAGAAAAGCAACACAAAGGCAAAAGCAGUGGGGAUCUGACCUAGGAACGCUGUCCUGCAACAGGCGAGAGUGUGGACCGCGUAGCUCUUACACAGCGAGCACUUCUGGAAUGCAAGAAAGAAAACACCCAAUUUCAGAAAGAAGUCACACAAUAAGAAUGAGAAAAAGAAGAAAGCAUUAUAAGUAGGAAAUGUAAGAUGCUGGCAUUAAGACAAAAUAUCUGUUAUGUCAAAUGCAAAUAAAAUAAACUCAUCUAUUGAAUGUAAUAGCAAAGCCCAUGUACAUGUUGUAAAAAUAAGUUAAUCCAG
rnacentral:lncRNA from 1 species